GAAAUUACCUUUGAAAUGGUGUCCCGGACCCUUGGACACCCCCGGCCGCACUCCGCUCGUUCUGUCUCCGCCGCGGCCGCCAGCGCUCCUGUGGACAUGCCUUACGUUGAGCUGGACACGAACUUGCCCGCCGAUCGCAUCCCCGCGGGGCUGGACAAACGUCUCCGCGUGGCCGCUGCCGCCACCCUGGGCAAACCUGCGGACCGCACGAACGUGACGGUGCGUCCGGGCCUGUCCAUGGCGCUGGGCGGCUCCACGGAGCCCUGCGCGCAGGUGGUCGUCUCCUCGAUUGGCGUGGUGGGCACCGCGGAGCAGAACCGAGGCCACAGCGCUCGCCUCUUCGAGUUCCUCACCAAGGAGCUGGCCCUGGGCCAGGACCGCACAGUUCAAGUUUCCUCUUGGGUGAAAAAUAUUCCUGAGCCAAGUCCAUACCUGUGAGGAAAUACGGGCCUGAGCAGCUUGAAAGGACAGUUCAGAAUGGAGCCUUUGUUGGCCCAGGAAGGCUGGAUCCUUAUCCGCUUUUUACCCCUGGAGCCCUGGCAGAUUGGCAAGGAUGGGACAGUCGUGACUUUUUUGUGAUUGGCAUCUGUGAGCUGAUUGCCCCUUGCAGAAAGACUUCCUGGCAGAGCGAUGGCCUAGUGGAUACCAGCUUUGGACAAUCCUUCAUGCAGACAUGUCUGUGACCUCACAGUCCUCUUUUUCCCCAUCCUCAUGCUAAAUAAAUGAAGAGAGCUUCAUGGUUCA